rnacentral:rRNA from 1 species
CCUACGGGUGGCAGCAGUGGGGAAUAUUGCGCAAUGGGCGAAAGCCUGACGCAGCGACGCCGCGUGAGGGAUGAAGGUCUUCGGAUUGUAAAACUCUGUUAGCAGGGAGGUACGGUCACUGUGCUAAUCAGCAGUGAAUUGACGGUACCUGCAAAGGAAGCAUCGGCGAACGCCGUGCCAGCAGCCGCGGUAAGACGGAGGGUGCGUGCGUUGAUCGGAAUUACUGGGCGGAAGGGGCUCGUAGGCGGUAUGUCAAGGCAAGGGUGAAAUCCCCGGGCUCAACCGGGGAACUGCCUUUGAAACUGGCAAACUGGAGUGUGUGGGAGGAUAGUGGAAUUCCAGGUGUAGGAGUGAAAUCCGUAGAUAUCUGGAGGAACAUCAGUGGCGAAGGCGACUAUCUGGCACAUAACUGACGCUGAGGAGCGAAAGCGUGGGUAGCAAACAGGAUUAGAUACCCCUGUAGUC